UCGUGGUGGCACAAUGGAGGAGGAGGAGGAGGAGGAGGAGGAGGAGAAGCAGGCGCUUCGGGGCCACUUGGAAGACAUCCUCGGCAACUUGAGGCACGACCAGCUGCAGGCGUUCUACAGCGAACUGCUUUGGAGCCCAAUCAAAACGGGCUAUCGCAACAUCCCCGGAGGGGAGCUGGAGGAAGCCGACGGUUUCUUUGCGCUCAGUGAUCGUCUGAUUAACCAUUUCGGCGAGGAUUACUCUGUGGAGGUGACUCUCUGGGUGCUGAACAAGAUCAACUGCGAGGAGGAGGCCAAGAAACUCCUCGCUCUCAUCGGGAAGGGUUCAAGUGAACCAGAAGAACCUGUGGUCUCCCCUGGUGAAGGAGCAUGGAGCAGACAGAGAGAGAUUGUCAAAAUGAACUUCAAGCGCACCCUGAUGGUCUUGGGAGAGUGGAAUCUGGAAACAUUCAAAGACAAACUCAGGGAGAUCUCAGUGAAGGACGGAUUUGAAAACAUCCCAGAAGAGAUCCUGCAGAAAGCCGGUUGGCUUGAACUCAGUGACAUCCUGCUGGAGUACUACAGAGAGGAUUAUGCUGUGGAGGUGACUGCUGGAGUGCUGAGAACCAUCAAUCGCAAGGACAAGGCACAGAGGCUCCUCAGUCUCAGCAGGAAAGAGACGCUGCAGAAAGCCCGUUGGUUCGAACUCAGUGACAUCCUGCUGGAGUACUACAGAGGGGAUUAUGCUGUGGAGGUGACUGCUGGAGUGCUGAGAGCCAUGAACCGCAAGGACAAGGUACAGAGGCUCCUCAGUCUCAGCAGGAAAGGACAAUGGGACACACCAAGAAACACUUUCAAAAUUGACCUUAUGGGCAUCUUGUUGCACUUGGGAGAGGUGGGUCUGGAAAAGUUCAAAGAAAAACUCAGUGAGUUCUCUGUGAAAGAGGGAUUUGAAAAUAUCCCCAAAGAGACCCUGCAGAAAGCACGUUGGUUCGAACUCGGUGACAUCCUGUGGAAGUACUACAGAGAGGAUUAUGCUGUGGAGGUGACUGCUGCAGUGCUGGAAGCCAUCAACCACAAGGUUCUGUCACACAGGCUCAUUGUUUUCAGCAUGACUGGAACAUGGAACAGAGAGACUGUCAAAAUGAACCUCGUAUACAUCCUAUGGGACUUAGAAGGGGAGGACCUGAAAACAUUCAAAGACAAACUCAGUGAGUUUUUAGUGGAGGGAUUUGAAACCAUCCCCAAAGAGACCCUGCAGGAAGCCCAUGUAUUCGAACUCAGUGACAUCCUGCUGAAGUUCUAUACAGAAGAUCGCGCUGUGGAGGUGACUGCUGCAGUGCUGGAAGCCAUCAACUGCAAGGACCAGGCACAGAGGCUUCUCACUCUCAGCAAGGCUCUUUUAUACAGGUCUCAAGAAAUUUCUUCAUAUUAUUCACCAGCAAAGAGGAGGAGAAAAAGGGUGACUGUCAAAAUUAACCUCAUGGACACACUGAUAGCUUUGGGAGAGGAGGAUCUGAGAAGGUUCAAAGACAAACUCAGCGAGUUCUCAGUGAAAGAGGGAUUUGGAAGCAUCUCCAAAGAGAUCCUGCAGAAAUCCCGUUCAUUCGAACUCAGUGACAUCCUGCUGAAGUUCUAUACAGAGGAUUAUGCUGCGGAGGUGACUUUUGCAAUACUGUUAGCCAUCAACCAGGCAGCCCAGACACACAGGCUACUCGCUCUCACCAGGACCGGAACAUGGAGCAAAAAAAGAGAGACUGUCAAAAUGAACCUCGUGCACAUGCUGAUGGACUUGGGAGAGGAGGAUCUGAAAGCAUUCAAAGACAAACUCAGUGAGUUCUCACUGAAGGAGGGAUUUGAAAACAUCCCCAAAGAGAUCCUGCAGACAGCCCAUUCAUUUGAACUGAGUGACAUCCUGUUAAACUACUACAGGGAGGAUUAUGCUGUGGAGGUGACUGCAGCAGUGUUGGAAGCCAUCAGCUGCAAGGACCAGGCACACAGGCUCUUCGCUUUCUGUAGGACUGGACCAUGGAACAGACAAAGAGAGAUUGUCAAAAUGAACCUCAUGCACAUCCUGAUGAACUUAGACUGGGAGGAUCUGUAUAUGUUCAAAGCCAGACUCCACGGGUUCUCAGUGAAAGAGGGAUUUAAAAACAUCCCCAAAGGGAUCCUACGCAAAGUUCAUUCAUUUGAACUCAGUGACAUCCUGUUGAAUUACUACAGAGUUGAUCACGCUGUAAAGCUGACUGUUGCAGUACUAGAAUCCAUCAACCACAUGCUCUGGGAAUAUGGGGACCUCGCUUUUAUGAUUGGAACAUGGAUCAGAGAAAGAGAGACUGUCAAAACUAACCUCAUGCACAUCCUGAUGGAUUUGGACUGGGUGGAUCUUAAAGGAUUCAAAGACAAACUCAGUGAGUUCCCAGUGAAGGAGGGAUUUAAAAACAUCCCCAAAGAGAUGCUGCAGGGAGAAGAUUGGUCUGAACUCAGUGACACCCUGUUGACACACUAUGGAAACAAUUACGCUGUGGAGGUGACUGCUACAGUACUGGAAGCCAUCGACCUCAAGGACCAGGCACACAGGCUCCGCACUCUCAGCAGGAUGGGAACAUGGAUCAGAGAAAGAGAGAUUGUCAAAAUGAACCUCAUGGACAUCCUGAUGGACUUGGGAGAGGAAGAUCUGAAAAUGUUCCAAGACAAACUCAGGGAGUUCUCAGUGAAGGAGAGACAUACAAACAUUCCCAAAGAGAGCCUGCAGGAAACCUGUUCAUUCGACCUCAGUGACAUCCUGCUGAAAUACUACGGACCGGAUGAUGCUGUGGAGGUGACUGCUGCAGUGUUGGAAGCCAUCAACCACAAGGACCAGGCACACAGGCUCCUCACUCUCAGCAGGACUGGAACAUGGAGCAGAGAAAGAGAGACUAUCAAAAUUAACCUCAUGGACACCCUGAUAGAUUUGGGAGAGGAGGAUCUGAAAAUGUUCAAAGACAGACUCAGUGAGUUCUCAGUGAAGAAGGGAUUUGAAAACAUCCCCAAAGAGAUCCUGCAGAAAUCCCUUUCACUCGAACUCAGUGACAUCCUGCUGAAGUACUACAGACUGGAUGAUGCUGUGGCGGUGACUGCUGCAGUGUUGGAAGCCAUCAAACACAAGGAUCAGGCACACAGGCUCCUCAUUCUCUGCAGGACUGGAUACGCAUUCCAAAGCCUCAGGGCAGCAGCAGCAAUGGAGAAGGCGGGUCCCGGAGUAGCCACCAGAUGUGCUGAUGGAGAAUGCAGACAGACCUCCUCAGAUGAUCUCAACAGGCGGCAGAGCUUACCUAAUGAAGGGAAAGGGGACCAUUGAUUAAAUAUAAGAAAUAAUGACUAAUAUUCUGCUACAAAGAGUGGGAUGGUGGUAAAUGUUGUUCAGCUGUGUCUCCCUGUUUGUAGAGGAAGAAGAAAUCGAGAAGACAGAGAUCCCUGAGGAAGACCCUUCGGACCUUGGACUGUGUGACUGGUUUCCCCCUGAGGAGGAGGAGGGGCAAGAUGGCAACGGGCUAACAGCCUAAUUCCCAAGCUCCUGCCACCCCAGGCAUGUCAUCCAAGGGGCUGACUCCCCGCUACCCGCCUGGGGAGAAAAAGACUACGAAAGAGUCCCAGCAAUAAGAGUCCACCUGAGGAAGGAAGGGGAAGAACUAGGAAGAAGAAACAGCUAAGGAUUGAAAACUUCCUCCCCUCAGCUGAGGCAGCGCCGUUUGCUGUGAGUACGAAGAACAGAUUCACAGCCUUGGCCAUGGAAACCCCCAUCCCCACUGCCAAGCCGGCUCUCCAGGAGACAGAUAUCAAACAAUCUACCUUAAAAUUGUCUCAUCAGAGAGAGGAGAGAAACUCCUAUAGGAAUCCGAAGCCCUAUAGCUGGACAAGUACCCUGCUCCCAGUCUGACCUUGUUACCUAGCUGCUAAGCGAUGCUUUCCUUCUCUCAGCUGAAAGCUUGAUUUUAAUUUUAGGGUGCCUGAACCAAAUUGGAGGACAGUUUAAAACAGGCUCUUGCCCAUUUAUCAUCUAGGAACUAGCAAGGGGUUAACAGCUCCGCUGACAUCAACAGCCCUCCCCUCUUCCUCGACUCCUGACUCACUGCACUGGGUUCACCUAGAAGCUGCUGGAAAUAACAGGGGAAAGCUGCAAAGAAUCUUGCAAACCCAUUGGAUUCUUAUCCACUUUCCCAGGAAGGAUUCAUAUUUAUGGGCAAGCAAAAUAAAGACACCCACCUCCCUUUCAGAGCUCCUCAACCAACCAGUAUCCCCUUCAGAGAUAAACCAUUUUCACUUUCUGCCAACACAGCUAGACCAUAAGAGGCUAUUCAUAAUCUUUAAGACACCAAGGGUGCCCACACAGCUAAUAUAUUCAGUCCAGCACUUGAGACAAUUCCACAUUACCUUGCACCGUGUCUUUAAAGAUUUCAGCCUCAGACCAUUAAUUAAGAGCCUCAAAAACAUUAGCAGCAAGAAUUCUGGCUCCUACACUAACAAUAAACUGCCUAACUGCUCCUACUGCUCCUACACUACUACACUACACUACUGCUCCUACACUACACUACUGCUCCUACACUAACAAUAAACUUUAAAAAAAUGAGCACAGACGAUCUUGAAGCUGCAUCAGGAUCUGAAACAAAUCUGGAAAGUGACAGAUCAAGACCAAUCUCCCAGGCUCCUCCCUAUCUCUAAUGAAUAUCCUAGACCCAUUUCAAACUGGCUUUAGAGUGGGCUAUGGGGUUGAGUCUGCCUUGGUCAGCCUGAUGGAUGACCUUUACCGAGGAAUCGACAGAGGGAGUGUAACUCUGUUGGUUCUUUUGGAUCUCUCGGUGGCGUUCGAUACCAUCGACCGUGGUAUCCUUCUGGAUCGCCUGGGGGAAUUGGGGAUUGGAGGCACUGCUUUGCAGUGGUUCUGCUCCUAUUUCUCAGGUAGCUUCCAGAUGGUGGAGCUUGGUGGCAGUGCCUCUUUAAAACGGGAGCUAUUAUAUGGAGUCCCUCAGGGCUCCAUUCUGUCACCUUUAGUGCUUUUUAAUAUUUACAUGAAACCGCUGGGUGAGGUCAUCAGGAGAUUUGGUGCAGGGUAUUAUCAGUAUGCUGAUGACACCCAAAUCUAUUUCUCCUCCUCAUCAUCAUCGUGAGGAAAGGGCAUUUACUCCCUAAAUGACUGCCUACAGGCAGUAAUAGGCUGGAUGAGGGGUAACAAAUUUAAGCUGAAUCCAAGCAAGACGGAGGUGCUCAUCGUGGGGGAUCAGAAUUUAAGGGAUGAGUUAGAUCUUCCUGUGCUGGAUGGGGUUACACUCCCCCCAGGUAUGCAGCUUGGGAGUGCUCUUGGAUCCAGGCCUCACCAUGGUAUCUCAGGUGGAGGCUAUGGCCAGUAGCGCUUUCUAUCAGCUUCGGCUGAUUCAACAGCCGUGUCCAUUCCUUGAAGAGAACGAUCUCAAAACAAUGGUGCAUCAGCUGGUAACCUCCAGGCUUGACUACUGCAAUGUGCUCUACAUGGGGCUGUCUUUGUACAUAGUCCGGAAACUUCAGUUAGUUCAAAAUGCUGCAGCCAGGUUGGUCUCUGGGGUAACCCAGAGAGACCAUAUUAUGCAUGUCUUAAAACAGCUACUCUGGCUGCUGAUAUGUUUCCAGGAGAAAUAUGAAGUGCUGGUUAUUAUUACCUUUAAAGCUCUGAAUGGCUUGGGUCUGGGCUACCUUAGAGAGCGCCUUCUUCAGUAUGAUCCCCAUCUCUCAUUGAGGUCAUCUGGAGAGGUCCAUCUCCAAUUGUCACCGGUACGUCUGGUGGCAACUCGGAAUCAGGCCUUUUCGGUAGCUGCUCUUGGAAUGCACUCCUGGCAGAUAUCCGCAGUUUAGGCUCGCUGUCAGCCUUUAAGAGAGCCCUAAAAACUUAUUUGUUUGGCCUGGCCUUCCAAGGCUUGUGAAGUGUUUUUUUUAAGUACUGCAUUUUAAAUGGUUUUAAUUGUUUUUGAAUUGUUUUUUAUAUUGCAUUGUGUUUGAAUUGUGUGUUUUUAUGUCUUUUUAAAGUUGUUGUACACCGCCCAGAGCCUCUGGAUGGGGCGGUUUAUAAAUGUGAUAGAUAGAUAGAUAGCAAAUUACAAGUUUCUGUUGCUGAGGUGGUAAAUAUACAUUGAUUAACAGCAGCAAAUUAGGGCCAAAAUGGAUUAACAAGGCCAUAGCAUAUUGUUUUAACGAGGUGAGGGGGGGUCAGCGUUGCCCACAGGAAGGUGGAGACAAGUUUUGCCAAGUCUCCUUUGAGCCUUCCAUGCUCAGUCCCAGGAGAAUGAGUGAAAUCCAUUGAGUGUGAGAUCGGCUGCUGUCCAGGUUUCCUGGGCUAGGAUAAUAUCAAACUGUGAGAAGCAGUUGUUGCAGUCUGUGUCUCUGCAACAAACCCAGCUGGUGAGGUUCCUUGAUAUUAGCUUGAUCCCAUGCUGUCUGGGGGAUGUCAUUGUGCAGAGUCGAGGGGUGGUGGUUGUGUGGAGGGAUCCUGCGAUGUCGUCUGGUCCACACAGGGUUGCUGUGAGAAGCAUAAGUCCUGAGGGGAGAUAGCCAGUGGAGCACUUUCAGGUUCCUGGGCACCCACCUCUGUGAGCGUCAGACCUCCCUGGGAGGAAAUCUCUGCCACUUGGGUUGUAAUUCCUUGUGACACAGGUGAGCCUUCUGAAGGGGUUAGCGUAGUAAAGGUGUCAGAGAGGGGGUUGCUACCGAGGGGAGUUCCUGGACCCAUGCCUUGUGUGCUGGUGUCCUCUGCAGUUACAGAGAGGGGCUGGAUCGAUGAGGGCACUGCAGGGGCACCUACAUCCAGGGAUGAAUGCACCUGUUGAUGCUUCUGAGGUGAUGACUGUCCCAAACGAGCCUCAUCCUCCAUUUGGUCGUGGCUCUAAUAGGGGGACAAAUGGAGCGGGGGGCACGUCCUACUCAGGUGUAUCCAAGAUGGUUUGUGGUUCCUCAAGUUGUGGAGAUGAUGGGGGCGGGCGGGCAUGGACACCCUCCCCUAGGGUGGCUGACACGUACGGGUUGCCUAAAUUCAGCAGCGCAGUGACCUUGUCGAAGUGUAAGUCACUGGCAAAUAUCAUUCCAGGGUGCAGUUCUUGCAAGGUAGUGACCCCUGGCGGAGGUCCCUUGCCUGCUUCUGGGGCCUCUGUCCUGAAUGUCCUAGAUAAUCGGUUUCAUCCAAAACCACCUGGAGCUGGUUAGCCACCACUCUCUCAAUCACCUUGCCCAACCACGGGAGAUUGGAGACCGGCCUAUACAGGUGAAACUCGGAAAAUUAGAAUAUCAUGCAAAAGUCCAUUAAUUUCAGUAAUGCAAAUUAAAAGGUGAAACUGAUAUAUGAGACAGACGCAUUACAUGCAAAGCGAGAUAAGUCAAGCCUUAAUUUGUUAUAAUUGUGAUGAUCGUACAGCUCAUGAAAACCCCAAAUCCACAAUCCCAGAAAAUUAGAA